rnacentral:rRNA from 1 species
GACGAACGCUUGCGGCGUGCUUAACACAUGCAAGUCGAACGGAAAGGCCCUGCUUUUGUGGGGUGCUCGAGUGGCGAACGGGUGAGUAACACGUGAGUAACCUGCCCUUGACUUUGGGAUAACCUCAGGAAACUGGGGCUAAUACCGGAUAGGAGCUCCUGCUGCAUGGUGGGGGUUGGAAAGUUUCGGCGGUUGGGGAUGGACUCGCGGCUUAUCAGCUUGUUGGUGGGGUAGUGGCUUACCAAGGCUUUGACGGGUAGCCGGCCUGAGAGGGUGACCGGCCACAUUGGGACUGAGAUACGGCCCAGACUCCUACGGGAGGCAGCAGUGGGGAAUAUUGCACAAUGGGCGGAAGCCUGAUGCAGCAACGCCGCGUGCGGGAUGACGGCCUUCGGGUUGUAAACCGCUUUCGCCUGUGACGAAGCGUGAGUGACGGUAAUGGGUAAAGAAGCACCGGCUAACUACGUGCCAGCAGCCGCGGUGAUACGUAGGGUGCGAGCGUUGUCCGGAUUUAUUGGGCGUAAAGGGCUCGUAGGUGGUUGAUCGCGUCGGAAGUGUAAUCUUGGGGCUUAACCCUGAGCGUGCUUUCGAUACGGGUUGACUUGAGGAAGGUAGGGGAGAAUGGAAUUCCUGGUGGAGCGGUGGAAUGCGCAGAUAUCAGGAGGAACACCAGUGGCGAAGGCGGUUCUCUGGGCCUUUCCUGACGCUGAGGAGCGAAAGCGUGGGGAGCGAACAGGCUUAGAUACCCUGGUAGUCCACGCUGUAAACGGUGGGUACUAGGUGUGGGGUCCAUUCCACGGGUUCCGUGCCGUAGCUAACGCUUUAAGUACCCCGCCUGGGGAGUACGGCCGCAAGGCUAAAACUCAAAGGAAUUGACGGGGCCCCGCACAAGCGGCGGAGCAUGCGGAUUAAUUCGAUGCAACGCGUAGAACCUUACCUGGGUUUGACAUGGAUCGGGAGUGCUCAGAGAUGGGUGUGCCUCUUUUGGGGUCGGUUCACAGGUGGUGCAUGCCUGUCGUCAGCUCGUGUCGUGAGAUGUUGGGUUAAGUCCCGCAACGAGCGCAACCCUUGUUCACUGUUGCCAGCACGUUAUGGUGGGGACUCAGUGGAGACCGCCGGGGUCAACUCGGAGGAAGGUGGGGAUGACGUCAAGUCCUCAUGCCCCUUAUGUCCAGGGCUUCACGCAUGCUACAAUGGCUGGUACAGAGAGUGGCGAGCCUGUGAGGGUGAGCGAAUCUCGGAAAGCCGGUCUCAGUUCGGAUUGGGGUCUGCAACUCGACCUCAUGAAGUCGGAGUCGCUAGUAAUCGCAGAUCAGCAACGCUGCGGUGAAUACGUUCCCGGGGC